GUUAAAAAGCUCGUAGUUGGUUCUGCGUGCCACGCUGUCGGUUCACCGCCUGCCGGUGCAACUGGCAUGCCGUGGCAUGUCCUGUCGGUGGCGGAUAGGCUUCACGGCGUGCCCUAUGCGGUAUACCAGCGUGUAGGUCGCUGCGCCGCGUUGUCCUUGUACGCCGGCUCAAUCCUACCGCGGUGCUCUUUACCGAGUGUCGAGGUAGGCCGACACUGUUUACUUUGAACAAAUUUGAGUGCUUAAAGCAGGCUCUUAAAUCAGCCUGAAUAGUGGUGCAUGGAAUAAUGGAACAGGACCUUGGUUCUAUUUUGUUGGUUUUCGGAAUCCAAGGUAAUGAUCAAUAAGGACAGGCGGGGGCAUUCGUAUUGCGACGUUAGAGGUGAAAUUCUUGGAUCGUCGCAAGACGCACUAGAGCGAAAGCAUUUGCCAAGUAUGUCUUAAUUGAUCAAGAACGAAAGUUAGAGGUUCGAAGGCGAUCAGAUACCGCCCUAGUUCUAACCAUAAACGAUGCCAGCCAGCGAUCCGCCGACGUUCCUCCGAUGACUCGGCGGGGAGCUUUCCCCGGGAAACCAAAAGCUUUUGGGUUCCGGGGGAAGUAUGGUUGCAAAGCUGAAACUUAAAGGAAUUGACGGAAGGGCACCACCAGGAGUGGAGCCUGCGGCUCAAUUU
rnacentral:rRNA from 1 species